GAUGAACGCUGGCGGCGUGCCUAAUACAUGCAAGUCGAGCGAACGGACGAGAAGCUUGCUUUUCUGAUGUUAGCGGCGGACGGGUGAGUAACACGUGGAUAACCUACCUAUAAGACUGGGAUAACUUCGGGAAACCGGAGCUAAUACCGGAUAAUAUUUUGAACCGCAUGGUUCAAAAGUGAAAGACGGUCUUGCUGUCACUUAUAGAUGGAUCCGCGCUGCAUUAGCUAGUUGGUAAGGUAACGGCUUACCAAGGCAACGAUGCAUAGCCGACCUGAGAGGGUGAUCGGCCACACUGGAACUGAGACACGGUCCAGACGCCUACGGGAGGCAGCAGUAGGGAAUCUGCCGCAAUGGGCGAAAGCCUGACGGAGCAACGCCGCGUGAGUGAUGAAGGUCUUCGGAUCGUAAAACUCUGUUAUUAGGGAAGAACAUAUGUGUAAGUAACUGUGCACAUCUUGACGGUACCUAAUCAGAAAGCCACGGCUAACUACGUG
rnacentral:rRNA from 1 species